CCUACGGGUGGCAGCUUUUCUUCCCGGACAUCCCUCGCCUUGUCGAGCAGCGCGCUCAGGCGCGCCGCCCUCCUUUCGUUCUUGCGGUUUAUCGCCGUCUGGCGGAGCCGUGACAGCACGAGGAAAAAGGCAUCAUCCAACUCGGACUCUCGCUCCCGCACGGCAGCAUCCAGGUCAUCCGCCUCCAGGAUCUCCAUGAUCAACAUGCUGGCUUCGUCCUCGGCCUCGCGCAGCUGCUGACUCUGGCGGUCUAUCGCGUCGAGAAGAUCCGAGCGCAGUCGCCCCAGGGGCUCGGCAGCGUCUUUGUCUUCGGCGGCCUGGGCGUUGUCCAGUCGCUGCGUCAGCUCCUGGAAGAAACCGUAAUCCAUCUGUGGCAAGCAUUCGGCCACCAGGUCGCCCCACUCCGGGCGGCCCUGAGCCGGCAGAAGCGCAUCGAUCAACUGCGCCGCAGAGGAAGGGCGCGGUGGCGCGGCAGGCAUGGCCGGCGAUACCCCAGUAGUC
rnacentral:rRNA from 1 species